GAUGAAGAACGCAGCGAAAUGCGAUAAGUAAUGUGAAUUACAGAAUUCAGUGAAUCAUCGAAUCUUUGAACGCAUCUUGCGCUCCUUGGUAUUCCGAGGAGCAUGCCUGUUUGAGUGUCAUUUGAACCCUCAAAACCAUGUUCAAUUCAUUGGACGGUGGCUUUGGACUUGGGGGCUGCAGGCUUUUUCCCUUCGAGAAAGGUCUGCUCCCCUGAAAUGCAUCAGUGGUAUCUGGAGCGGAAACCGCCAGGUGUGAUAACAUCAUCUACGCCUUUGGUAUGCCGCGCAUUGUGCUGCUUCCAACGCGCCCAUUAUUGACAAACUUGACCUCAAAUCAGGUAGGACUACCCGCUGAACUUAAGCAUAUCAAUAAGCGGAGGA
rnacentral:misc_RNA from 1 species